AGAGUUUGAUCAUGGCUCAGAUUGAACGCUGGCGGCAGGCCUAACACAUGCAAGUCGAGCGGUAACAUUUCUAGCUUGCUAGAAGAUGACGAGCGGCGGACGGGUGAGUAAUGCUUGGGAAUAUGCCUUAGGGUGGGGGACAACAGUUGGAAACGACUGCUAAUACCGCAUAACGUCUACGGACCAAAGGGGGCUUCGGCUCUCGCCCUUAGAUUAGCCCAAGUGGGAUUAGCUAGUUGGUGAGGUAAUGGCUCACCAAGGCGACGAUCCCUAGCUGGUUUGAGAGGAUGAUCAGCCACACUGGAACUGAGACACGGUCCAGACUCCUACGGGAGGCAGCAGUGGGGAAUAUUGCACAAUGGGCGCAAGCCUGAUGCAGCCAUGCCGCGUGUGUGAAGAAGGCCUUAGGGUUGUAAAGCACUUUCAGUAAGGGGGAAAGGUUAGUAGUUAAUACCCGCUAGCUGUGACGUUACUUACAGAAGAAGCACCGGCUAACUCCGUGCCAGCAGCCGCGGUAAUACGGAGGGUGCGAGCGUUAAUCGGAAUUACUGGGCGUAAAGCGUACGCGGGCGGUUUGUUAAGCGAGAUGUGAAAGCCCCGGGCUCAACCUGGGAACUGCAUUUCGAACUGGCAAACUAGAGUAUGAUAGAGGGUGGUAGAAUUUCAGGUGUAGCGGUGAAAUGCGUAGAGAUCUGAA
rnacentral:rRNA from 1 species